rnacentral:rRNA from 1 species
GACGAACCGUGCGGACGUUGUUCGGAAUCACUGGGCUUAAAGGGCGCGUAGGCGGGCUGCCGCGUCCGGGGUGAAAUCCCACGGCUCAACCGUGGAACUGCCUCGGAUACGGGCGGUCUCGAGGGGGGUAGGGGCACGCGGAACUGUGGGUGGAGCGGUGAAAUGCGUUGAUAUCCACAGGAACUCCGGUGGCGAAGGCGGCGUGCUGGACCCCAUCUGACGCUGAGGCGCGAAAGCCAGGGGAGCAAACGGG